rfam:Triticum urartu cultivar G1812 contig626914, whole genome shotgun sequence.
AACAUACUUCCUCCGUUCGAAAAUGCUUGUCCAAAAAAUGGAUGUAUCUAGACGUAUUUUAAUUAUAUAUACAUCAAUUUCUAUUCAUUUAUGUGACAAGUAAUUCCGGACGGAGGGAGUAAACA